CAAUAAGCGGAGGAAAAGAAACCAACAGGGAUUGCCCCAGUAACGGCGAGUGAAGCGGCAACAGCUCAAAUUUGAAAUCUGGUCCCCAGGGCCCGAGUUGUAAUUUGUAGAGGAUGCUUUUGGCGAGGCGCCUUCCGAGUUCCCUGGAACGGGACGCCACAGAGGGUGAGAGCCCCGUCUGGUCGGAUGCCAAGCCUAUGUAAAGCUCCUUCGACGAGUCGAGUAGUUUGGGAAUGCUGCUCAAAAUGGGAGGUAUAUGUCUUCUAAAGCUAAAUAUUGGCCAGAGACCGAUAGCGCACAAGUAGAGUGAUCGAAAGAUGAAAAGCACUUUGAAAAGAGGGUUAAAAAGUACGUGAAAUUGUUGAAAGGGAAGCGCCUAUGACCAGACUUGGGCCCGGUGAAUCAUCCAGCGUUCUCGCUGGUGCACUUUGCCGGGCACAGGCCAGCAUCAGUUUGGCGCGGGGGAUAAAGGCUUCGGGAAUGUGGCUCCCUCGGGAGUGUUAUAGCCCGUUGUGUAAUACCCUGCGCCGGACUGAGGUACGCGCUCCGCAAGGAUGCUGGCGUAAUGGUCAUCAGCGACCCGUCUUGAAACACGGACCAAGGAGUCGUCUUCGUAUGCGAGUGUUCGGGUGUAAAACCCCUACGCGUAAUGAAAGUGAACGCAGGUGAGAGCUUCGGCGCAUCAUCGACCGAUCCUGAUGUUCUCGGAUGGAUUUGAGUAAGAGCAUACGGGGCCGGACCCGAAAGAAGGUGAACUAUGCCUGUAUAGGGUGAAGCCAGAGGAAACUCUGGUGGAGGCUCGCAGCGGUUCUGACGUGCGAAUCGAUCGUCAAAUAUGGGCAUGGGGGCGAAAGACUAAUCGAACCUUCUAGUAGCUGGU
rnacentral:rRNA from 1 species